rnacentral:rRNA from 1 species
AGAGUUUGAUCCUGGCUCAGGAUGAACGCUAGCUACAGGCUUAACACAUGCAAGUCGAGGGGAAACGAUAGGGAAAGCUUGCUUUUCCUAGGCGUCGACCGGCGCACGGGUGAGUAACGCGUAUCCAACCUGCCCAUGUCUGGGGAAUAACCCGUCGAAAGGCGGACUAACUCCCCAUGGUCUCCGAUGAGGACAUCUGAAUUGGAGUAAAGCUUCGCGGACAUGGAUGGGGAUGCGUCUGAUUAGGUAGUAGGCGGGGUAACGGCCCACCUAGCCUACGAUCAGUAGGGGUUCUGAGAGGAAGGUCCCCCACAUUGGAACUGAGACACGGUCCAAACUCCUACGGGAGGCAGCAGUGAGGAAUAUUGGUCAAUGGACGAGAGUCUGAACCAGCCAAGUAGCGUGAAGGAUGACUGCCCUAUGGGUUGUAAACUUCUUUUAUAAAGGAAUAAAGUCGGGUAUGCAUACCCGUUUGCAUGUACUUUAUGAAUAAGGAUCGGCUAACUCCGUGCCAGCAGCCGCGGUAAUACGGAGGAUCCGAGCGUUAUCCGGAUUUAUUGGGUUUAAAGGGAGCGUAGAUGGAUGUUUAAGUCAGUUGUGAAAGUUUGCGGCUCAACCGUAAAAUUGCAGUUGAUACUGGAUGUCUUGAGUGCAGUUGAGGCAGGCGGAAUUCGUGGUGUAGCGGUGAAAUGCUUAGAUAUCACGAAGAACUCCGAUUGCGAAGGCAGCCUGCUAAGCUGCAACUGACAUUGAGGCUCGAAAGUGUGGGUAUCAAACAGGAUUAGAUACCCUGGUAGUCCACACGGUAAACGAUGAAUACUCGCUGUUUGCGAUAUACGGCAAGCGGCCAAGCGAAAGCGUUAAGUAUUCCACCUGGGGAGUACGCCGGCAACGGUGAAACUCAAAGGAAUUGACGGGGGCCCGCACAAGCGGAGGAACAUGUGGUUUAAUUCGAUGAUACGCGAGGAACCUUACCCGGGCUUGAAUUGCAACUGAAUGAUGUGGAGACAUGUCAGCCGCAAGGCAGUUGUGAAGGUGCUGCAUGGUUGUCGUCAGCUCGUGCCGUGAGGUGUCGGCUUAAGUGCCAUAACGAGCGCAACCCUUGUUGUCAGUUACUAACAGGUGAUGCUGAGGACUCUGACAAGACUGCCAUCGUAAGAUGUGAGGAAGGUGGGGAUGACGUCAAAUCAGCACGGCCCUUACGUCCGGGGCUACACACGUGUUACAAUGGGGGGUACAGAAGGCAGCUACACGGCGACGUGAUGCUAAUCCCUAAAGCCUCUCUCAGUUCGGAUUGGAGUCUGCAACCCGACUCCAUGAAGCUGGAUUCGCUAGUAAUCGCGCAUCAGCCAUGGCGCGGUGAAUACGUUCCCGGGCCUUGUACACACCGCCCGUCAAGCCAUGAAAGCCGGGGGCGCCUGAAGUCCGUGACCGCAAGGAUCGGCCUAGGGCGAAACUGGUGAUUGGGGCUAAGUCGUAACAAGGUAGCCGUACCGGAAGGUGCGGCUG